GAGAACUGAUUUCUUGAUAGAUGGAAUGAUUGGGUAACGCCUUGAAACGCCUACUCUGAUACUCCGACAUGCCUUCUCAAUGGUUAAAUUGAAAGGUGUGAAGCUCGGUGAAGUCGGCAGAGAGAUACCGUAAGUUAGGGAAAGCAUAGCGAGUACCUGACACGAAAGCUGUCCAGAGGUGGACGGUGUAUCCUAUAUGCCGGGAGUCCAUAAA
rfam:Sporosarcina sp. P33, complete genome.